AUUUUUUCCCUGGAGACUGCAGUUAUCUGUUUUUUUUUCACAGAUCCAAUACAGCAUGGGCAUCAGCUGCAUGUGCUUUCCCACAAUACCCUGUUAAUGUGCCUUAAACCUGGUGUGAAGGGAGCAUUUGCAGUGAUAAAAGAGUAGCUCACCCACCAUGUCAUUAAAUCUUUUUUCUCAC
rnacentral:sRNA from 1 species